AUUGAACGCUGGCGGCAGGCCUAACACAUGCAAGUCGAGCGAGCGGCGGACGGGCGAGUAAUGUAUGGGGAUCUGCCUGACCUAGGGGGAUAACUACUGGAAACGGUGGCGAAUACUGCAUACUACCCUAUGGACCGAUAUUGGAUUAGCUAGUAGGUGGGGUAAAGGCUCACCUAGGCGACGAUCUCUAGCUGGUCUGAGAGGGUGAUCGGCCACACUGGGACUGAGACACGGCCCAGACUCCUACGGGAGGCAGCAGUAGGGAAUAUUGCACAAUGGACGCAAGCCUGAUGCAGCCAUGCCGCGUGUAUGAAGAAGGCCUUAGGAUUGUAAAGUACUUUCAGCGGGGAAGCGUUACCCACAGAGGAAGCACCGGCUAACUCCGUGCCAGCCGCCGCGGUAAUUC
rnacentral:rRNA from 1 species